AAAUCACUCAGGGAGAGAGCAAUCAGCUUUCUCUGGGUAGGAGGAAAAGAUGUGCCAAGAAACCUUCCUACCGAAGGAAAAGAGCUUGAACUCAUAAACAUGCUGCAGAAGGGAGCAGAGGCUGCUCGGUUAAAGACACAGUGAGAAAGCAGCUAUUUGCAGUCAGAAAAAGAUCCUUCAUUCAGGAAUUGAAAUGACCAGCAACUUGAUCUAAAACUUCCCAUCCUCAAGUACGGCACACUCCUGCCAUUGUGGUGCCAUCCGCUGUGACACUCUUACAGCAGGGUGACUGUGGGAGUGACUGGAUCUUCAACCUUCAGCCCCCAAAACUGUGAGCUAAAUAAACCCCUUCUCCUCAUAAAGUACCCAACCUCAGGUAUUUUUUUUUUUAAAGCAACAUAAAAUGGGCUAAUGGAGCAAUAUGAGGACAUUGGUUUACAAGCACUUAGGAAUACCUUAUAUGAAAGAGCUGCAGCCUUCAGUUUGUCUUUACAAAGGAUGGAUAUGUCUUUUCAAUUAACAGCUUGAAAAAGUCUGGAAUUAUUUCUUACCUCACAGCUGUCCUGUAAAGUAAUUUCCUUAUUUCUCUCAAGUUGAAAGAAAUGUCUACUGCUUCCUAUUAACUAGCUCAGGGAUUUUCAAAUUAGGUGAAUUUCACAAUUUGUGUGUUAACUGGGGGGAUCGGAGGUGGACUUCGUCAAUUUCCUAUGCCUAGAUUCCCCUAAGUCCACAGAAUCAGAAUUUUUAGCUGUGAUGUCCAAAUUAAGUCAGUUGAAAACCACUCCAUGUGCUUCUGAUGCAUAUCAAACUUGACAUCCAUGGGACCACAUUCUCUUUGACUGAUAAAAAUGUUCAAGCUUAGUAGCUAGGAAGAGCUUUCUGUAGGUAGUAUUAUCAUUUAAAAUGAACAGAUUUAACUUUUACAAAUGGACAUCCUUUUAAGAGGUUUGGGGCCGGUGGAUUUGAGGGGAGCUCUUAGAAUAUGUGUUGGGCUACCCUUACCUCUUCAUUGUCUGCAUUUCCCCCUCUGCCAUGGCCUGCUUGGUUUCCCAGUCUGUCUGCCCCUCUGGGUUAAAUGGAAAAAUUGACAUCUCACAUUUAAGGGAAUUUAUUGCAAAUUAAUGCAGUAGAGAUUUAUAUUUUCAUGUGAAAUAUCCUUUUAAUAGAGUAAAUAAUUGUUCCUCCCUCCAAUAUAUUUGUCUCAUUACUCUGGAUGCUCUAUAAUAGGAUUAUCUGUUAUAAACAUACACUUACAGAUCCAAAUAUAUGCACAGAUGAAAAAUAUCAAGCUUACAGGACAAGGUCAUCCCCCAAGCAUGGACACUCAAGGCCUUUUGGCUCUAUUUUCUCUAAGGAAAACUAAAGUCACAGUUGAACAAGGGAGCUUCCCUUGUCUCCUAGUUUCCACCAAGUGCUGGCUCUGACUCUGUUCUUUUGAUUUUUUUAGCGGCCUUCAGAGAAUUCUCAUGGAGGAGAGAAGGAAGUGGAUUGAAGAUGGGGUCGAGUUUCUAUCUGCUGUUUGACCCACGGAUUGCUGGAUAGACAUGACAUAUAGAAAACAGCUUGAUUCAUCCCACAGAAGUAGCAGAGAGUCCCAGGACCCAGCCUGCCCCACAGCAUCCCAGAGGGAUUUAUUCUCUUCUGAAGUUUGCAGAAGAAAUUGUUUUAUGAAUCAAUUUAAGACUAAUAAAUACAUAGAGUUCUAUUCCAAACAUAUUUUUUUUAAUUAUAAAAGAAGUACAUACCUCUUAAAAGGAUUAUGGGAGAAAGAGGAAUGUAGGAAAAAAAAUAAGACAGAAAGUACAGGUAAGAGUGCUGAUUUUAGAAUCAGGGCCAUACGGACUAGAAUCAGCCUUACUUGCUGUAUACACUUGGGUGAGUUACUUCACAUUGCUGAGUGCAUUCUUCUCAUCUGCAAAAUGGGAACAACCUCUCUGUCUGUCAUGUGGUAAGGGUUUGCUAAAGUGUAUUUUGUAAAAGCACUUAGAAAAAUUCUUGGUAUAGAAUAGUGUUACCAUAAUACAGGUGAGGUAAGUGUUUUUACUGCUGGUAGGAUAGCUACUGACUACAUCCUUUCCAGGCAAAUGGGACUGACUUUGAACCCCUUUUGGUUUGGGGGAGAAUUACUGGUAUUGGUAUUCCUAGCAUUAAGGCCACAUAAUAUUUGAAGAACUGGUUGCAAUCUCUUAAAAGUGUUAUUACCAAGAAAUAGAUUUUGGUUAUGUCUGUUUUCAUGGUACAGUAACCGAAACCCCUUAGUUUUUGUCUUAAGCUUAUAAACAUAUUUUAGUUUGUAAAAAGUGAUAAAAAAAAUACCCUGAGAAACAAUUAAAGUUCAUAGGAAAAUAAGAAAUCUUCACAGUAAUGUUUCAUUGAAUCAUCACAUUUUUUUUUCCUGAAAUACCAAUGAAGAAUGGCAGUUUUGAUAUGUAAAACAGUAGUUAGUCUUUAUGUGGAUAACACUUUUAAAAGCCUAGAAAUAUUUCACAUUUGAAGAAAAACACUUGUUUCCCGUGUUGAAUCUGAUUAAAAUUCAAAUCUAUCUUAGCAUCUCAUUACUAUUUGAAAAAAGCAACCUUCACGCUUAAGGAGAACGGCUCGGAGUCCACAGGUCCGGUGGCUGCAGGCUCUGCCUCUGGCUGUCACUGUGCUGGGACCCCAGAGGACAGGGCCACAGCUACAUCCUUGUUAAAACAGUCAUGGCGGGAAGACUGGCCCCGAGUUUCCUGCCUUUCCCCUCUCCCAUCCCGACAUUGUUUCAGCUGCCAGAUCCUCAAUAUUUUCUCUCCAGCAAGGGAAAGGGAAGGGCAAAAAUGACUUUGAAAGAAUAACAUUUCUUUCUAUGGACUUAAAUAGAACACUCAACACAAAACAUCCUGUGCUUCCUUUUCAUGGAUAACGUGCUGCUUGUCGCCGUGAGUGAACUAAAAAGCAGGGCUGGGUGUUGAGAGAGUUGGUGUUGGAGCUGCCAGCUGGGCGGUGAAGAAAACGCCCCUUGGGUAUUUUAAGGUUCGCCCUGCCCUCUCCUGUACACUCCCAUCUCCUUAUCCCGUAGUGUCUUGUCUCUUCUCCAUCGGAGUUAACACCUUUGAACAUAGUUUAGUACUUUUUUUUUUGGUUUAUUCUCCAACUGCUUAGAUUGUAAUGGCCAUAACGGGAACUCCACGAGAGUUAAUAUCUUCCUGUUUGCUGUUGGAUUACUUGUUCUAAAAAGAGUGCCCGGCAUGAAGUGGACACUAAAUAUUUGCAGGAUAAGCGAAUGAAUUAGUUUCUCCCUCAACGUCUUUUCCGGUACGAGUGGUAUCUAUAGUUCCUCAGUAUCUUUCCCUACAGGACUCUUUGGGUAUGAUUGGUACCAUGGGACAUAAAAAUAUUCUAUAAAUGUAUUUUUAUCUAGUAGAUACAUUUGAGAGUAUAGAUUUUUUUCAAGGUUUACACAAUUUAAUUGGUAAGGAAGAAAUAAAAGAGUUGGAUUAAAAAAGAAGCAUUCCCUUGUUACUUUAGGUUAUCUUAUUAUUUUAUUUUUCUUCCAACAACUCCCACACCGAACGUAUUUUUUUUGUUUAUUAUCUAUCUUUCCAUACUACAAUAUAAAAUUUUUCCCUUUUUGAUUGUAAUUGACAAAAAAAUCAUAUAUACUUAAGAUGUACAUCAUGUUCUGAGAUACAUAUACGUUGUGAAAUGAUUACUAUAAUCAAGCUAAUGAAUAUAUUCACCACUUCACAUACUUAUAGCAUUUAAAUUCUUGUACUUAGAAAUGUUUUAUAGGAGCACAAAUCAAAAACACUCCUAAAUAAAAAAUAUGCUUAGUAUCUCACUGCCAGCAACAGAUUAAAAUAGUUAAGUAAACACCUUUCUAGACAAUUUCUUGAUUUCUCUAUACAUUAAUGCAUUUUUGAAAAUAAAAAAGUUGGCAAUACCAUAUAUACUAUUUUGUAACCUGCUGUUUUACUUAAUGGAAGACAGGAUUUUGUGUAUUUUGUUUACUACAGUAGUCCCAUUUAUUACCCCAGUGCCUGAUACACAGUAGACAACCAACACAUAUUUGCUGAACAUGCAAAUGUUCGGAUGAGUGUGUUUGGUAUAGACUGUAUCCAGGUCUGGCCUUGACUGUAUAUGGAGCCCAUGGCAUGAUUGGUCAGUAAGACUUUGGUACUUCUGAGGAGGAUGUUGGAUGGAGAGAUAGAAAGGGAAACAAGAUGACCUAUAAGGUAUUAAAUUGUAAGUUUUUCAUUCAUAGUUAAAAAG
rnacentral:lncRNA from 1 species